GUAUUCCUUUAAAACAGUGCUGUUUCUUUGCAAAUACAGGAAGAUCCUGACAUGGUGAAGAAUCCUUGCCAAGCUGCCCCCAGCCCUUCAUUCCCAGCCACCUCCUGCUUACCUUGCUGCUGUGGGCCAGCAGAUGCCCUUGUAAAGAAGCUGGAAUUACCUGGCUGAGGCCAUGUGCCUCCUUUCUUCUCACCUUGCCCUGAGAAAGAGGGUGAUGCUAUUUUGCAGUCUGUGAACUCAAGCACAGAGGCUAGUGGCCAUAUUCGAGGAUAUUCACGCAUCAGUGUCACAUGGAAAACCUGCAGCAAGCAGAUACUCAAAUCCAUAUCUCCUAAAUCCAAGGUGAUACAAAGCCACAAAAAACAAGGGAGGAAAAAAAAGAAGAGAGUAAUUACAUCAUAAAUAUGUAUAGCUUAAACCCUUGGCUUAACCUGAGCUCUUCAGGACUGAUCCUCAGUUUGCUCCAAGUUUCAAUUGCCAAUAGAAAAUAAAACCUAUGUGCACCAUUGAAAAUAAGUAACUAACUUAGAAAAAAGUUACUUUUGCCAAACAAUACAGGAAAAUAAAAGGAUAUAAGUUGGAUCUUGACCUCCUAUGUGUUAGUGAAUCAGCCUAGAGAUGCUGUGAG